CCUACGGGAGGCAGCAGUGGGGAAUAUUGCACAAUGGGGGAAACCCUGAUGCAGCGACGCCGCGUGAGUGAAGAAGUAUUUCGGUAUGUAAAGCUCUAUCAGCAGGGAAGAAAAUGACGGUACCUGAUUAAGAAGCCCCGGCUAACUACGUGCCAGCAGCCGCGGUACUACGUAGGGGGCAAGCGUUAUCCGGAUUUACUGGGUGUAAAGGGAGCGUAGACGGUGAUGCAAGUCAGAAGUGAAAGCCCGGGGCUCAACCCCGGGACUGCUUUUGAAACUGUGUGACUGGAGGGCAGGAGAGGUAAGCGGAAUUCCUGGUGUAGCGGUGAAAUGCGUAGAUAUCAGGAGGAACACCAGUGGCGAAGGCGGCUUACUGGACUGUAACUGACGUUGAGGCUCGAAGGCGUGGGGAGCAAACAGGAUUAGAUACCCCAGUAGUC
rnacentral:rRNA from 1 species